rnacentral:tRNA from 1 species
AGCGAUGUAGCUCAACGGUAGAGCAAGGCAUGGGAUACAGGUUCGACUCCUGUCAUCACUA